UAGUAAAUCGAUUAGGGACCGCUGUAAC
rnacentral:piRNA from 1 species